rnacentral:lncRNA from 1 species
UGUUAUGAAGGAUCUAUGGAAGCCCAGUCAUAAGAAGAAACGUGGCUUAAUUCACCCCCAGUAUGACGAUAGAACUACUGGGUUUCACAGGGACCUGCAGGGCUUCAUGUCACAUAAACUUACACCUCAGAGAGAAAACUAGGAUGUCUCUUCUGUUGAACCCGUGUAUGGCUUGAAUAGAGUUCCAGCAAAGGAAUCGUAAAAUUGGAGGCACCCUCAGCCUGCCGAUGUUUUCUGCAUGGGGAUGAUUUGUGGGACCAAAGUCAAUUAAAGUUCGGCUUGAAGUGAGUAACAGACCCUCAGAAUUAUUACACAAUUGCCCUACCAUAUGUUUCUGUCGUUUGGGUCUCCUCAAGUCCUUUUGCAUUUCUUCUUCGGCCGUCUUCCUCCUACCCCCCGCUAAGCUUUCUUUCUCAUCAUCAUCCCCAAGCAGUGGAAGACAGAGCCAUAAACAGCAAGGAAUAUGAAACGUGAGGCUCACAUGAAUGUGGGGAGAGAGUGGUUUAUGCGUGUAAUGGUGCCUACACACAUUUAAUUCCUAAAUCCAAACUCAUAGGCUUAGGGUGAAAUUAGCAAUUUUAAAAAUGUUGGUCCUAAGUGAAAAGUGAGCCUGCUUUGUAACAGUUGGUAAAGAUAUUGAUAACUUAUAUAAAGGCACUGUGGUUUGGUCUCUGCCUAGAGGUGGGUGGUGUAUGGCAUCAGGAACAUUACAAAUAAUUCUCUUUAGACACAGAUUUCAUAAUUUCCUUGUAACCUACUGGUAAGACUUCCACGGAGAAUUCUUUCAUCUCUACCUCACAUCCCAGAGGCUCUGGCCGUGCUAGGUAAGGACCCAACCACUGAGCAUAGCCCCCGGCCCAAGAAUUAUCAUUCUGAGUUGCUCAAUAGAGUUCACAUCCUGCUGUUGUUUUAGAAAAUAAAACAAAUCCAACAUAAAGCA